GGUGUGGGGUGGCAGGUGUGGGUGUGUGCAGGGGCUGGUGUGUUGUGGUGUCGGGGUGUCAGGGUUGGUGUAAAUACAGUCAUCUCUUGUUAGGCAUGGUUUAAAUUUUCAUGGUUUCAAGUUUCCAUGGGUUCAGUUUCCAUGCUUUAGUUUCCCCGGUUCAGUUUUCCCGGUUCCAGUUUCCACAGUUUUCAGUUUCCACAGGUUCAGUUUCCCUGGUUCAGUUUUCCCGGUUCCAGUUUCCACAGUUUUCAGUUUCCACAGGUUCAGUUUUCCCGGUUCCAGUUUCCACAGUUUUCAGUUUCCACAGGUUCAGUUUCCCUGGUUCCAGUUUCAAGGUUUCAGUUUCCCCGGUUAUAGUUUCAAGGUUUCAGUUUCCAUGGUUUCAGUUUCAAGGUUUCAAUUUUCAUGGUUUCAAGUUUUCAAGGUUUCAGUUUCCACAGUUAUAGUUUCCACAGUUUCAGUUUCCACGGUUUCAGAAAUUCAAGCAACAGCAGCAGCAGUGAGAGGCAGUUUACUUGCGCUCAUCACUUUUCCCUUUAUCAUAUUUAGUCCAUUGAUAAGUUAAAUGUUUGGGAGCCGCCGUGGUACAGUGGCACCGCGCGCUGCUUUGGGGGCCAAGUGGUCAUCAGGCGCACGGGUUCGAAUCCUGGCUACGGUCCGAGGGUAGGAAGGGCAUCCACUCGGGGUAACGGUUCCCAAAUGCCAAAUCCAAAAGUCCUUCAUCAGGAGGCACCGUCUCAGCCCUAACAGACUAGGGA